rnacentral:rRNA from 1 species
AUACGGAGGGUGCGAGCGUUAAUCGGAUUUACUGGGCGUAAAGCGCGCGUAGGCGGCUAAUUAAGUCAAAUGUGAAAUCCCCGAGCUUAACUUGGGAAUUGCAUUCGAUACUGGUUAGCUAGAGUGUGGGAGAGGAUGGUAGAAUUCCAGGUGUAGCGGUGAAAUGCGUAGAGAUCUGGAGGAAUACCGAUGGCGAAGGCAGCCAUCUGGCCUAACACUGACGCUGAGGUGCGAAAGCAUGGGGAGCAAACAGCAUUAGAAACCCCGGUAGUCC